UUAGGGGUUAACUUAUGAUCUUCAAGGGUCGACUUCUUUUCUUUAGGAGUCGACUUGAGAAACUGCUCAUUUUUGCUACACUCUGUCUCUUGCAUUUGGUCACUUUUGAGGUCGACUCAACUAUUUUUGGGGUCAACUCGUGAUCCAUUAGGGUAGAUUCGUGAAAGGAUUAUUUUUGGCUGCCUUUUUGUUUCUGUCUACGGCCAUUCUGGGGUCGACUCAACUUGUGCUAGGUUGACUCAUGCUCGGCA
rnacentral:lncRNA from 1 species